AUAUUAGAUAACAGCAAAGCUAAGGAUGGUAAGGCCUAAUACGUAAUGAUUCUAUUUAUUUGCUUUUAUUCAUUUGUCUUUUGUAGCUCAAAUUUUGAGUCUACACAAGCUCAGCUAGGGGAAAAGAACAAAUUGGAACAGAACAGUUUCCAAACAGUGAAGGAGGUUUUUCCAAACUCAUCCCUAACUGAACAUGAGGAUGAAUUGGCAUUAGGCGAACACAGUCAGUUAUUCAGUCUACCACCUGACAGUGUGUUAAAGUUAAAUUCUGUUAGUGCUGCACUAAAAGAAUUGUUAGUAAUAAGUCCAUGCAGCGAAGGAAGUGAACAAUUGUGGGACCAUAUUUGGGCUGAAAAUGGGUGUGGUACGGAAACCCAGAAAUAGCACGAGUUCAACAUAAAACAUGAAUUAGAAUUUUAGUGGGGGAUCAAGUCAAGUCUGGAAGUGUUACAGGAUGGAAGAGUGAGCCUACAGUUGAAAAACACUGAAAGUGCAUUACCAUUAAGGUAUGAGGUAAAGUAAUAGAGUAU